CAAACUGCUCAGUAACACAUGAUCAACUUACCCUGUAGAGAAAAAUAACCUCGGGAAACUGAGGAUAAUAUUUCAUAAUUGAAUUGGCUUGGAAAAGUUUUUCAAUGAAAAGGAUAAAAAAAAUGGUUUUUAUCUGCUAUAGGAUAGGAUCGUGUUCGAUUAUGGUUGUUGGUGAGGUAAUGGCUCACCAAGCCGAUAAUCGAUAGGGCCGUGCGAGCGGGAGCCCCGAGAUGGGUACUGAGACAACGACCCAGGCCUUACCAGGCGCAGCAGGCGCGAAACCUCCGCAAUACACGAAAGUGUGACGGGGUUACCCAAAGUGUUCAAUUUGAACUGUGGUAGGUGAGUAAUGUCCCCUACUAGAAAGGAGAGGGCAAGGCUGGUGCCAGCCGCCGCGGUAAAACCAGCUCUUCAAGUGGUCGGGAUAAUUAUUGGGCUUAAAGUGUCCGUAGCCGGUUUAGUAAGUUCCUGGUAAAAUCGGGUAGCUUAACUAUCUGCAUGCUAGGAAUACUGCUAUACUAGAGGGCGGGAGAGGUCUGAGGUACUACAGGGGUAGGGGUGAAAUCUUAUAAUCCUUGUAGGACCACCAGUGGCGAAGGCGUCAGACUGGAACGCGCCUGACGGUGAGGGACGAAAGCCAGGGGAGCGAACCGGAUUAGAUACCCGGGUAGUCCUGGCCGUAAACGAUGCAUACUA
rnacentral:rRNA from 1 species